GGGGGUGACUGGUUUCGACAUGGUACGUUGAAAAUGAGGAGCAGGCCGUGGUCUCCUCGCCACGUUAAACAGGGGUACCUGUCAUAAUUAAAUGGCAAAACCAACACUGGCCGUUUGGCCCUCGCUGCUUAAUAUAAGCUAGCGCGCUGAAGCAGGGUUUUCUCCCGCCCCUGUGGACGCGUCAUCUCAGGGAGACGCUCUUGGGAACGUAGACGGUAUAUCCCAAGCUAAGAUCGAACCGGCUCGGAUGAGGUCCGCCAGUCGACGGGCAGACCGAUUCUUAAACUGAAACGCCGACUAAGCUUGUAGAGCCUCGUGGACAGGGUAGUAUGGACCGGAGUUCGAUUCUCCGCGCCUCCACCA
rnacentral:tmRNA from 1 species